rnacentral:lncRNA from 1 species
GCAGUAGCCGACGAAGGCGGCAAGGAGAAGGAGGUCGGGCGAGAGGCCAUUAGCAAAGGGAGGGAGAGGAGGAGGACGAGGAAGGAAGCAAAACACGAAGAUCGGAGGGAUUUCUUAGAUUCUGGUUGGCAUUUUAUCUCAAGCAUAUAGGUUUUUGUGCGAGUUGUGGUGGUGUGAGUAGUAAAGGGUCGAGGAGAUUGAGGGCAGGGGCAUGGAGAGGGGCCUCACAACGGCCAACGAAGAUGAGUUGUGGUGGUGUGAGCAGCAAAGGGUCGAGGAGAUUGAGGGC